rfam:Dipodomys ordii contig_6045, whole genome shotgun sequence.
GGGAAGAUGGCUCAGUGGUAGAGUGCUUGCCUUGCAUGCAUGAGGCCCUGGGUUUGAUUCCUCAGUACCA